AGAACGAACGCUGGCGGCAGGCCUAACACAUGCAAGUCGAACGCCGUAGCAAUACGGAGUGGCAGACGGGUGAGUAACACGUGGGAACGUACCUUUCGGUUCGGAAUAACUCAGGGAAACUUGAGCUAAUACCGGAUACGUGCGAGAGCAGAAAGAUUUAUCGCCGAGAGAUCGGCCCGCGUCCGAUUAGCUUGUUGGUGAGGUAAUGGCUCACCAAGGCGACGAUCGGUAGCUGGUCUGAGAGGAUGAUCAGCCACACUGGGACUGAGACACGGCCCAGACUCCUACGGGAGGCAGCAGUGGGGAAUAUUGGACAAUGGGCGAAAGCCUGAUCCAGCCAUGCCGCGUGAGUGAUGAAGGCCUUAGGGUUGUAAAGCUCUUUUGUCCGGGAAGAUAAUGACGGUACCGGAAGAAUAAGCCCCGGCUAACUUCGUG
rnacentral:rRNA from 1 species